rnacentral:rRNA from 1 species
UAUUUUAGUCUUGUUAGAGGAACCUGUUUUAUAAUCGAUAAACCACGUAUAUUUCACUUAUUUUAAAUAACUUGUAUACCGUCAUUAUUAGAUAACUUUUCAAAAAAUUAGUUAUUAAAAUUAAAAACAAAAUUAAAUAUAUUAGAUCAAGGUGCAGUUUAUAAAUAAGAAAAAAUGGGUUACAAUAAAAUUUAUUUAAAACGAAUUAUAUAAAUGUAAAAAUAUAUGAAGGAGGAUUUAAUUGUAAUUUUUUAUAAGAUAAUAAUAUGAUAAUAGCUCUAAAAUAU